UAGCUCAGUUGGUAGAGCAGUUGACUUUUAAUCAAUUGGUCGCAGGUUCGAAUCCUGCACGACCCACCAAUGCUUAGGUGAGCAGUGGUAGUAAGCGUAAAGGAUAACGUUGCGUCAGCAACGGCCCGUAGGGCGAGCGAAAGCGAGUCAUCCUGCACGACCCACCA
rnacentral:sRNA from 1 species